GGGUGCGAUCAUACCAGCGUUAAUGCACCGGAUCCCAUCAGAACUCCGCAGUUAAGCGCAUUUGGGCUAGAGUAGUACUGGGAUGGGUGACCUCCCGAGAAGUCCUAGUGUUGCACCCUC
rnacentral:rRNA from 1 species